GGAAGAGGUCUUGUACCAAAUAAUUGGAAUGUACCUAGUCAGGCUAAAACUGCCACUCCUUUGUCCUCUGAUGGGAAUUACCAAGUGGUCUUACCUGAAGCCUCAAUUCCGCCACUUUCUAUUGGGUUAGGAACUUCUUCUAAUGAUGCAGAAGUGGAAAGGAUAUGGCAAUACCAGGAUCCGACUGGAAAAGUUCAGGGUCCAUUUU
rnacentral:misc_RNA from 1 species